GAAUUGUAUGAAAGGAGAGAUCAACACUUCUCUUGACAGGAAGAGAAGAAGCCCUCAGGUAUGACAACAAACACAUGUUUAAGAGAUUGGUACCUAGUUUGAACCACAUAACCAUAAUUUGC